CGUGCUUAACACAUGCAAGUCGAACGAUGAAGGAGGAGCUUGCUCCUCUGGAUUAGUGGCGAACGGGUGAGUAACACGUGAGCAAUCUGCCCUUGACUCUGGGAUAAGCGCUGGAAACGGCGUCUAAUACCGGAUACGAGCUGUGAAGGCAUCUUCAACAGCUGGAAAGAACUUCGGUCAAGGAUGAGCUCGCGGCCUAUCAGCUAGUUGGUGAGGUAAUGGCUCACCAAGGCGACGACGGGUAGCCGGCCUGAGAGGGUGACCGGCCACACUGGGACUGAGACACGGCCCAGACUCCUACGGGAGGCAGCAGUGGGGAAUAUUGCACAAUGGGCGCAAGCCUGAUGCAGCAACGCCGCGUGAGGGACGAAGGCCUUCGGGUUGUAAACCUCUUUUAGCAGGGAAGAAGCGAAAGUGACGGUACCUGCAGAAAAAGCACCGGCUAACUACGUGCCAGCAGCCGCGGUAAUACGUAGGGUGCGAGCGUUAUCCGGAAUUAUUGGGCGUAAAGAGCUCGUAGGCGGUCUGUCGCGUCUGCUGUGAAAUCCCGAGGCUCAACCUCGGGCUUGCAGUGGGUACGGGCAGACUAGAGUGCGGUAGGGGAGAUUGGAAUUCCUGGUGUAGCGGUGGAAUGCGCAGAUAUCAGGAGGAACACCGAUGGCGAAGGCAGAUCUCUGGGCCGUUACUGACGCUGAGGAGCGAAAGCGUGGGGAGCAAACAGGCUUAGAUACCCUGGUAGUCCACGCCGUAAACGUUGGGAACUAGAUGUG
rnacentral:rRNA from 1 species